AACCUGCCCAGCAGAGCGACCAGCGAACAUGUUUAUCAUGCAUGGGUGAGGGGCCCAUAGUUUUGCCUCGUGCAACUCUUUGGUAGCCUCCCAUCCACGCCUAGCGGGCUCCCCAUUUGGGGUGUUCUCUAGGCACAAUAACGAACCCCGGCGUGGUCUACGCCAAGGAACAUGAAUACUAGUGUGCCCCCCUUGACUGGUUUUCCGGAAGAGGUGGUGGCACCAAGUCGUAUAAAACAUUAAACGACUCUCGGCAACGGAUAUCUCGGCUCUCGCAUCGAUGAAGAACGUAGCGAAAUGCGAUACUUGGUGUGAAUUGCAGAAUCCCGUGAACCAUCGAGUCUUUGAACGCAAGUUGCGCCUGAAGCCUUAGGGCAGAGGGCACGCCUGCCUGGGCGUCACGCAUCGCGUCUCCCCCAUCCCACCAAGCGUGGGAAGGUGGAGGAUGAUGGUCUCCCAUGCCUCACCAGGUGUGGAUGGCCUAAAUACGGAGCCCCCGGCUGCGAGCUGCUGUGGCGAUAGGUGGUAGACAAGGCUAAGCCUAGGAUGCAUCGCGUCAAGCAGCACGUUGUCCAUGAGGCCUCGCAGGACCCUUAUUUGCUACCUUUCGGGGUGGUAAAAACCGUUGCGA
rnacentral:rRNA from 1 species